GGAUUUCUGAAGUCACACAGUGGAUGGAGAGCAAUGAAAGUUGGAACAGGAUGGGGGAUUUGUUUGAGGGACAAAAAAAAAUGAGAAGAAGGAGAGGCGGUGGCAAGAAAUAGAGUGAGGUGUGAAGCAAAAGGAUGAGAAGGAGGUAAAGCGAAAGUAGGACGGGAGAUAUUCCAUAGGACAGUCUCCAGGUGCAGCCCAAACACACGGGAUGGAUUUGAUAGAAGCUGCUUUUG